UAUCAAUUUUAAAGCAUUAUGUACAACAAAGAUCAAGCCACAAAUUGAGACAAUCUCCAAAUUUUUUAAGACGUCUGAGGGGCAACACAGAGAUUUCAUACAUGAAAUUCUAGAACCCUACAUUUAUUAUGUCUCUGAUGUUCACAUUUAAUUAAGUUAUUGAUUGAUGAAUUUCACCACCGUUCGUCCUUCUAUCUACCUAAACAAGCAGUUGAUCGGUCCAUCAUUUUUAUAUGAACCUGCAAUCGCUCUUUAGGUGAAGAUGGUGGACCAUAGCGACGCAGACGUUCGGAACAGGUUCUGGUUAUUGGGGUUGGAGUAUGACGGCUUGGGAGUCACGGAAGUGUGGGGGAGAAGAAACAUUUGGAUUAGACAAGCCGACCGAUUAUAGAGGUGAGAGAGUUCCUCUAAUUAAAAAGAUGUAAGGUUGUGUUAUGGCAGUAUAAAGAUAACAAACAGUUUUAGGCGGGGUGUUUGGAUGCACGAUUAAACCGAUAAUAGAUGUAUGGAGUUGCAAUUAUCAGUCUUGAGUAUCAGGUUUUAUGCUAUCUUGCUUGAUUUUAUCGUAGCGUCUUUCAGAUGAGGUUAACUUCAGAUGUAUGAUCGUUAAGGGGCCGCCGGUGAUGGUAUCCGAUACGAUUUCACCGGCGAUUGAAGGGCAACUAACAGGGAUAAAGAUAAGAGACUAUGGUCGUACACCGUUGACCCGUUUGUUGUGUGCUUCUCCAGCUU